CCUACGGGAGGCAGCAGUGAGGAAUAUUGGUCAAUGGACGAGAGUCUGAACCAGCCAAGUAGCGUGAAGGAUGACUGCCCUAUGGGUUGUAAACUUCUUUUAUAAGGGAAUAAAACGAGGCACGUGUGCCUUUAUGCAUGUACUUUAUGAAUAAGGAUCGGCUAACUCCGUGCCAGCAGCCGCGGUAAUACGGAGGAUUCGAGCGUUAUCCGGAUUUAUUGGGUUUAAAGGGAGCGUAGAUGGGUUGAUAAGUCAGUUGUGAAAGUUUGCGGCUCAACCGUAAAAUUGCAAUUGAUACUGGCAGUCUUGAGUACAGUUGAGGUAGGCGGAAUGCGUGGUGUAGCGGUGAAAUGCUUAGAUAUCACGAAGAACCCCGAUUGCGAAGGCAGCUUACUAAACUGUGACUGACAUUGAUGCUCGAAAGUGUGGGUAUCAAACAGGAUUAGAUACCCGAGUAGUC
rnacentral:rRNA from 1 species